UACGUAGGGGGCAAGCGUUGUCCGGAAUCAUUGGGCGUAAAGAGCGUGUAGGCGGCUCGAUAAGUCCGCUGUGAAAAGUCCAGGGCUCAACCCUGGAAGGCCGGUGGAAACUGUCGGGCUAGAGUCCGGAAGAGGCGAGUGGAAUUCCCGGUGUAGCGGUGAAAUGCGCAGAUAUCGGGAGGAACACCAAUGGCGAAGGCAGCUCGCUGGGACGUCACUGACGCUGAGACGCGAAAGCGUGGGGAGCAAACAGG
rnacentral:rRNA from 1 species